ACUAUGAAAUAAUUUUGAAGCACUUUAUUAGUUCAUUAUUGACCUGUACUUUGGUCAAUGUCUAGGUUUGUUUAGUGUUGUUUUUUUUCAUGAUUUGCUAUUUACUUUCUGAUUUGAUUAUUUGUUGAUGUAGGGUUUAUGAUUUUUCAACAAGGACUUUUGCCAGUUGUUACUUAUCUGACCUUCAUUUUUUUCCUUCUUAAUUUCUGCAGUGUGUCGCAUCACAACCGGAUACUAGGAUCCAUUUCUUAAAUGGAAAUGAAUUGCUGCUGAAAUAGGAGUUGAAGCAUUUUUUUAUCGUUUUUAAGUAUUUUCUAUUUUCAAAGUUGAGAGAGUCAGGAAUGAUGUUGAACUGUAUAUCGAAUAUUAUUACUCUAUUGCUGUU